AGAGGGAGGGAGGGGGGGCAGUAGAGGGAGUUUUUUUGUUUGUUGCCAAAACCAUCUACAGGGUCGUAUUCAUUAGGGCAUGUAAAGUAAUGUAUUCACGACAAUGUAACGUUUCCUAUUGGACAGAUGCAAGGUCGUCUCUCCCUGUUUCAGGCCAUUUACUUCGGUUUGGUGCCUAAUGAAAACGACCUAGGUAAAUGAAAUCUAACGUAGUGGCAACGUGUGAGAUUAGGAUUGAGAUAAUGUCUAGUUUGAGAUUGUUAUGGUUCUUAUCAAGGAAAACAUAUAUAUAUAAUGCAGUAAAGGGUUUAAUAUAUUUAUUUUGUUAUAAAUUGAAUAUGUGUAUGUUAUUAUGAAUUUGAUUGAUAAAAAGAGACAAUGUUUGUUUUUGGGUUUACACUUCUGAAAAGGGAAAAUGGUAUACUGUAGGAAAUCUUUUGCACAACUACAUUACCCUAUACUACAGUAAGGUGCUGUAACUACAUUACCCUAUACUACAGUACGGUGAUGUAACUACAUUACCCUAUACUACAGUAAGGUGCUGUAACUACAUUACCCCAUACUACAGUAAGGUGAUGUAACUACAUUACCCUAUACCACAGUAAGGCGCUGUAACUACAUUACCCCAUACUACAGUAAGGUGCUGUACCUACAUUACCCUAUACUACAGUAAGGUGAUGUAACUACAUUACCCUAUACUACAGUAAGGUGCUGUAACUACAUUACCCUAUACUACAGUAAGGUGAUGCAACUACAUUACCCUAUACUACAGUAAGGUGCUGUAACUACAUUACCCUAUACUACAGUAAGGUGAUGCAACUACAUUACCCUAUACUACAGUAAGGUGAUGCAACUACAUUACCCUAUACUACAGUAAGGUGAUGUAACUACAUUACCCUAUACUACAGUAAGGUGCUGUAACUACAUUACCCUAUACUACAGUAAGGUGAUGCAACUACAUUACCCUAUACUACAGUAAGGUGAUGUAACUACAUUACCCUAUACCACUGUAAGGUGCUGUAACUACAUUACCCUAUACUACUGUACGGUGCUGUAGCUACAUUACCCCAUACUACAGUAAGGUGAUGUAACUACAUUACCCUAUACUACAGUAAGGUGAUGUAACUACAUUACCCUAUACUACAGUAAGGUGCUGUAACUACAUUGCCCCAUACUACAGUAAGGUGAUGUAACUACAUUACCCUAUACUACAGCAAGGUGCUGUAACUACAUUACCCUAUACUACAGUAAGGUGAUGCAACUACAUUACCCUAUACUACAGUAAGGUGCUGUAACUACAUUACCCUAUACCACUGUACGGUGCUGUAACUACAUUACCCUAUACCACUGUACGGUGCUGUAACUACAUUACCCUAUACUACUAUACGGUGCUGUAACUACAUUACCCUAUACCACUGUAAGGUGCUGUAACUACAUUACCCCAUACUACAGGACGGUGAUGUAACUACAUUACCCUAUACUACAGUAAGGUGAUGUAACUACAUUACCCCAUACUACAGUAAGGUGAUGUAACUACAUUACCCUAUACCACAGUAAGGUGCUGUAACUACAUUACCCCAUACUACAGUAAGGUGCUGUACCUACAUUACCCUAUACUACAGUAAGGUGAUGUAACUACAUUACCCUAUACUACAGUAAGGUGCUGUAACUACAUUACCCUAUACUACAGUAAGGUGAUGCAACUACAUUACCCUAUACUACAGUAAGGUGCUGUAACUACAUUACCCUAUACUACAGUAAGGUGAUGCAACUACAUUACCAUAUACUACAGUAAGGUGAUGCAACUACAUUACCCUAUACUACAGUAAGGUGAUGUAACUACAUUACCCUAUACUACAGUAAGGUGCUGUAACUACAUUACCCUAUACUACAGUAAGGUGAUGCAACUACAUUACCCUAUACUACAGUAAGGUGAUGUAACUACAUUACCCUAUACCACUGUGAGGUGCUGUAACUACAUUACCCUAUACUACUGUACGGUGCUGUAACCACAUUACCCCAUACUACAGUAAGGUGAUGUAACUACAUUACCCUAUACUACAGUAAGGUGAUGUAACUACAUUACCCUAUACUACAGUAAGGUGCGGUAACUACAUUACCCUAUACUACAGUAAGGUGAUGCAACUACAUUACCCUAUACUACAGUAAGGUGCUGUAACUACAUUACCUUAUACCACUGUACGGUGCUGUAACUACAUUACCCUAUACCACUGUACGGUGCUGUAACUACAUUACCCUAUACUACUAUACGGUGCUGUAACUACAUUACCCUAUACCACUGUAAGGUGCUGUAACUACAUUACCCCAUACUACAGGAAGGUGCUGUAACUACAUUACCCUAUACUACAGUAAGGUGAUGUAACUACAUUACCCUAUACUACAGUAAGGUGCUGUAACUACAUUACCCUAUACUACAGUAAGGUGAUGCAACUACAUUACCCUAUACUACAGUAAGGUGCUGUAACUACAUUACCCUAUACCACUGUACGGUGCUGUAACUACAUUACCCUAUACCACUGUAAGGUGCUGUAACUACAUUACCCUAUACUGCUGUACGGUGCUGUAACUACAUUACCCUAUACCACUGUAAGGUGCUGUAACUACAUUACCCUAUACUACUGUACGGUGCUGUAACUACAUUACCCUAUACCACUGUAAGGUGCUGUAACUACAUUACCCUAUACUACUGUACGGUGCUGUAACUACAUUACCCUAUACCACUGUAAGGUGCUGUAACUACAUUACCCUAUACUACAGUAAGGUGCUGUAACUACAUUACCCUAUACUACUACAGCAAAGGUUGGGGUCAAUUCCAGUCAAUUCAGGAAGUAUUCCAAUGCUUUUCAAUGAGCAACAUUUGGAAUCGGAAUUUGGUUUGCCUUUGAAUAAAUAAUAACAAUAAUAAUUUAUUUAUCUUGUAUAGCACUUUUCAUGACAGAAAAUAAUCUCAAAACGCAUAAAAAGGAAAAUAAACAAACAACAAAUUUUAAAAUCGAGAUGGUGGAGAGACUGAAUGUCUCUGUUUGACUUGGGAUGAAAGGCUGGGAGUUGACAGGAGGGGACCUCGACGAUACAGAGAGAAUCAAAGACAGUCUGACAAACAGACCCAGAGCUCUUUAUCAGUGCACCGCACCUGCUUCUCCAACGCUCCUCCACCACAGGACCCGCUCCUCCACCAUAGGACCCACUCCUCGUCCACAGGACCCGCUCCUCUGUAGGUGCUGGACCUCCUGCAGGUACUGGACUUCUGGACCUCUUUAGGUACUGGACCUCUGUAGGUACUGGACUUCUGGACCUCUGUAGGUACUGGACUUCUGGACCUCUGUAGGUACUGGACCUCUGUAGGUACUGGACUUCUGGACCUCUUUAGGUACUGGACCUCUGUAGGUACUGGAUUUCUGGACCUCUUUAGGUACUGGACCUCUGUAGGUACUGGACUUCUGGACCUCUGUAGGUACUGGACCUCUGUAGGUACUGGACCUCCAUUGCCGAACAUGUAGCACCCACCUGGGUGAUGCCACAGCUUCUGAAAGGUGCAAUUUGAAUUGACUGGUAUUUUAAAUGGAAUUGAUCCCAACCCUGUGUUCUAUAACCGUGACUACUGUUUAAAGACCGAGACUGUGAGACAAAGUGCCAGUCGUGUUUACAUUCAUAUCCAAUAGGACUUGGAAGGGAUAUAACGUCUGUGGAAGAGAUUACUGCUAGCAUACUGGAAAAGCACAGUUAGUUUAUUCUAUCCUGGUCCCAGAUCUGUUUUGUGCUGUGUAGCCAACUCCUGUUGCAUUUGACAAGACAACACAACACGCAGAUCUAGAACCAGGCUAAGAUUUGUUGUAGGUUUAGUAUAGGAUUUAGACUCAUUCUUGGGUUACAAAGAACUCCACUAUAAAACACUGUUGUUUUUUUCGAUUGAGUUUUUCUGUAAGUAGCGCUUGUUGUAGGUUUUCAUAUUCAUAUGUUUGAUGUGCGGUUUUCUGUUUGUUGUAUGUGGCAUUGUUAUUAGAGAUUGGGAAUCUGCAUUUUGUGUGUGUGUGUUUCUACUGUAUAAGUGCCUGACUACUCAUAAGCUAAAGAGAACCAAAAUGGCGAUCUGCUUUCUGCACUGCUGAGAUCACAAUGAUCGUUUCUAUCACUGUAUAAUGGAGAGAGAGAGAGAGAGAGACCGAGGUGUUUUCUAUUGAUGACAGGCAUUUGAAUGACGACUGUACUGUAGGUAUGGUCAGGUCCGCCAUUAUUACCCCCCCCCCCCCCCCUUGAUACAGAUGACAAAAUAAUUCAAUACAAAAGACUAAUUCUGAGCGAUAUUGCCUGCUCAACAAAAUGGGGAAAUGGUAUAUUUAGAUUUUUUUAUAUCAAUACAAUUGCUCAGCGAACGAACUAUAUUUUCAUGUCAUCUGACCAUAGCACCGCCUGGCGUUUCCACCGCCUGGUGUUUCCACCGCCUGGUGUUUCCACCGCCUGGCGUUUCCACCGCCUGGCGUUUCCACCGCCUGGCGUUUCCACCGCCUGGUGUUUGCUAAACGGCAUAGGAACCGGUGCUUUGGUCAGAUGACCUGUAAAUAGAGCUCCUCACCGCACAACAGCGGUGGGUUUGGCGUUGAACAACAGAGGUGGGUUUGACGUUGAGGAACAGAAGCAGGAACGAACCGCCGUACCUACUGUAAAAUAUGGGGGUGGAUGUUUUGAUGUUAUGGGGCUGUUUUGUUUCCACUGAUCAUGGGACACUUGUUUAAGGUCAACGGCAUCAGGAACUUUAUCCAGUACCAGGACAUUAUUUUGAGUGUGUGUGUGAGAAUGUAGUGUGUGUGUGAACUGUGAUCUUUGUGUGUGUGAACUGUGAUCUUUGUGUGUGUGUGUGUGUGUGAACUGUGAUCUUUGUGUGUGUGUGUGUGAACUGUGAUCUUUGUGUGUGUGUGUGUGUGUGAACUGUGAUCUCUGUGUGUGUGUGUGUGAACUGUGAUCUUUGUGUGUGUGUGUGUGUGUGUGUGUGUGAACUGUGAUCUCUGUGUGUGUGUGUGUGAACUGUGAUCUUUGUGUGUGUGUGUGUGUGUGAACUGUGAUCUCUGUGUGUGUGAACUGUGCCCUUUGUGUGUGUGAACUGUGAUCUCUGUGUGUGUGUGUGAACUGUGAUCUCUGUGUGUGAACUGUGAUCUCUCUGUGUGUGUGUGUGUGUGAACUGUGAUCUUUGUGUGUGUGUGUGUGUGUGUGUGAACUGUGAUCUUUGUGUGUGUGUGUGUGUGUGAACUGUGAUCUUUGUGUGUGUGUGUGUGUGCCAAAAACCAGAUUUUCUUCUGCCAAGGAGGCUGACACAAGUGGAACUUCCAGCAAGAUGAUAAUAACCUCCAGGACGAAUCGAACAUUUACCCACACAUCUAGAUGCUGCAAUAGUCACCUCAGUCCCCGGGCUUUUGAUUCUGUGUGGAGGACUGGAUUAAGAUUCCACCCAACGUGUUCUCCAGGCACAUAAAACAUUCUAGAAAUGGGCUCAGUGGUGUUAUCCUCGCAGGGUGCUGGAGCAUUGACAACAGGGGUGCCAAGAACCCCACUUUUUUUUGGGGGGGGGGGGGGGGGGGGGGUUUGUAUGUAUUUCCUGUUCAACAAAAUUUCAUUCUCUGAGCAAUUGUAUUGUUAUAAAAUAGUAUAUUUUCACCCUUUUUUUGUUGCAUGAAAUAUAUCUCAGUAUUUUAUAUUGUUUUAUUUAUACAAGAUUUUUUUGCUUAUCUUUAUCCAGGGUGCCAAUAAAUAUGGACCUGGUUGUAUCUGGGGUUUUGUUUUCGGUUUAUCACACAAAAAAUGUAUGAAAUUGUUCUAUUUCGUUGUGUACUGUAUAAAAAAAAAAAAACACUACUGCGUUUGUUUGUGGCCAGUAAAACUGUGAGAUUUAAAACUGUUUCUUUCUUUCUAAGACUUUCCUUACCAUGUUGCAAAGCUUGACUUGCUGUCGGUUAACGCCAACAGAUUGUUAUGCUGGUGUGGUGGGUUGUGGAUGCUGUCUGUGUGUUCAGGCGGUGUUUUUAUAUGACAAUCAUGGUGACACUUAUUACUCAAUAUUAAAUCUAUUUCCUGGAAUGUAUCAAA